UUGUUUUCUUGCUAGAACACA
ensembl:piRNA 21ur-6208 ncRNA